rnacentral:rRNA from 1 species
GAUGAACGCUGGCGGCGUGCCUAAUACAUGCAAGUCGAGCGAAGCGGGGACGGGUGAGUAAAACGUGGGUGACAUGCUAUAAGACUGGGGAAAAUUCGGGGAACCGGAGCUAAACCGGAUACUGUUAGCUGGAUCCGGGCUGCAUUAGCUAGUUGGUAAGGUAACGGCUGACCAAGUCCACGAUGCAUAGCCGACCUGAGAGGGUGAUCGGCCACACUGGAACUGAGACACGGUCCAGACUCCUACGGGAGGCAGCAGUAGGGAAUCUUCCGCAAUGGGCGAAAGCCUGACGGAGCAACGCCGCGUGAGUGAUGAAGGUCUUCGGAUUGUAAAACUCUGUUAUUAGGGAAGCGGUACCUAAUCAGAAAGCCACGGCUAACUACGUGCCAGCAGCCGCGGUAAUUC